GACGAACGCUGGCGGCGUGCUUAACACAUGCAAGUCGAACGGAAAGGCCCUGCUUUUGUGGGGUGCUCGAGUGGCGAACGGGUGAGUAACACGUGAGUAACCUGCCCUUGACUUUGGGAUAACUUCAGGAAACUGGGGCUAAUACCGGAUAGGAGCUCCUGCUGCAUGGUGGGGGUUGGAAAGUUUCGGCGGUUGGGGAUGGACUCGCGGCUUAUCAGCUUGUUGGUGGGGUAGUGGCUUACCAAGGCUUUGACGGGUAGCCGGCCUGAGAGGGUGACCGGCCACAUUGGGACUGAGAUACGGCCCACACUCCUACGGGAGGCAGCAGUGGGGAAUAUUGCACAAUGGGCGGAAGCCUGAUGCAGCAACGCCGCGUGCGGGAUGACGGCCUUCGGGUUGUAAACCGCUUUCGCCUGUGACGAAGCGUGAGUGACGGUAAUGGGUAAAGAAGCACCGGCUAACUACGUGCCAGCAGCCGCGGUGAUACGUAGGUGCGAGCGUUGUCCGGAUUUAUUGGGCGUAAAGGGCUCGUAGGUGGUUGAUCGCGUCGGAAGUGUAAUCUUGGGGCUUAACCCUGAGCGUGCUUUCGAUACGGGUUGACUUGAGGAAGGUAGGGGAGAAAUGGAAUUCCUGGUGGAGCGGUGGAAUGCGCAGAUAUCAGGAGGAACACCAGUGGCGAAGGCGGUUCUCUGGGCCUUUCCUGACGCUGAGGAGCGAAAGCGUGGGGAGCGAACAGGCUUAGAUACCCUGGUAGUCCACGCUGUAAACGGUGGGUACUAGGUGUGGGGUCCAUUCCACGGGUUCCGUGCCGUAGCUAACGCUUUAAGUACCCCGCCUGGGGAGUACGGCCGCAAGGCUAAAACCCAAAGGAAUUGACGGGGCCCCGCACAAGCGGCGGAGCAUGCGGAUUAAUUCGAUGCAACGCGUAGAACCUUACCUGGGUUUGACAUGGAUCGGGAGUGCUCAGAGAUGGGUGUGCCUCUUUUGGGGUCGGUUCACAGGUGGUGCAUGCCUGUCGUCAGCUCGUGUCGUGAGAUGUUGGGUUAAGUCCCGCAACGAGCGCAACCCUUGUUCACUGUUGCCAGCACGUUAUGGUGGGGACUCAGUGGAGACCGCCGGGGUCAACUCGGAGGAAGGUGGGGAUGACGUCAAGUCAUCAUGCCCCUUAUGUCCAGGGCUUCACGCAUGCUACAAUGGCUGGUACAGAGAGUGGCGAGCCUGUGAGGGUGAGCGAAUCUCGGAAAGCCGGUCUCAGUUCGGAUUGGGGUCUGCAACUCGACCUCAUGAAGUCGGAGUCGCUAGUAAUCGCAGAUCAGCAACGCUGCGGUGAAUACGUUCCCGGG
rnacentral:rRNA from 1 species